GCCCGAUUAGCUUGUUGGCGAGGUAACGGCUCACCAAGGCAAUGAUCGGUAGCUGGUCUGAGAGGAUGAUCAGCCACACUGGAACUGAUACACGGUCCAGACUCCUACGGGAGGCAGCAGUGGGGAAUCUUGCACAAUGGGCGAAAGCCUGAUGCAGCGACGCCGCGUGGGGGAUGAAGCUUCUCGGAGUGUAAACCCCUUUCGCCUGGGACGAAUGCCCGCAAGGGAGUGACGGUACCAGGAUAAGAAGCCCCGGCUAACUACGUGCCAGCAGCCGCGGUAAGACGUAGGGGGCCAGCGUUGUUCGGAAUUACUGGGUGUAAAGGGUUCGUAGGCGGUGUGGCAAGUUGGGAGUGAAAUCUCUGGGCUCAACCCAGAGGCUGCUUCCAAAACUGCUGUGCUUGAGUGUGAGAGAGGCUCGUGGAAUUGCAGGUGUAGCGGUGAAAUGCGUAGAUAUCUGCAGGAACACCCGUGGCGAAAGCGGCGAGCUGGAUCACUACUGACGCUAAGGAACGAAAGCUAGGGGAGCA
rnacentral:rRNA from 1 species